rnacentral:tRNA from 1 species
CAUUAAGAAGCUAACUAUAGCAUUAACCUUUUAAGUUAAAGACUGGGAGCNAAGCCCUCCCCUUANUGA